rnacentral:rRNA from 1 species
UACGUAGGGUGCAGGCGUUAAUCGGAAUUACUGGGCGUAAAGCGUGCGCAGGCGGUUUGCUAAGACAGGUGUGAAAUCCCCGGGCUCAACCUGGGAAUUGCGUUGGAGACUGCAAGGCUGGAGUCUGGCAGAGGGGGGUAGAAUUCCACGUGUAGCAGUGAAAUGCGUAGAGAUGUGGAGGAACACCGAUGGCGAAGGCAGCCCCCUGGGUCAAGACUGACGCUCAUGCACGAAAGCGUGGGGAGCAAACAGG